rnacentral:rRNA from 1 species
AGAGUUUGAUCCUGGCUCAGAAUGAACGUUGGGCGGCGUGGAUUAGGCAUGCAAGUCGAGCGAGAAAUUUUAAAAAGAUACUUCGGUUGAUUUUUAAGAUGGACAGCGGCGAAAGGGAGAGUAACGAGUAGAUACGUACCCAAGGGUUCGGGAUAGCCAUGCGAAAGCGUGAGUAAUACCGAAUAAUGUCUCCGGACCAAAGAUUUAUCGCCCUUGGAGCGGUUUGCUUACUAUUAGUUUGUUGGUGGGGUAAAGGCCUACCAAGACUUAGAUGGUUAGCGGGUGUGAGAGCAUGACCCGUCUCACUGGGACUGAGACACUGCCCAGACACCUACGGGUGGCUGCAGUCGAGAAUCUUUCGCAAUGGACGAAAGUCUGACGGAGCGACGCCGCGUGCUGGAUGAAGGCCCUCGGGUUGUAAACAGCUGUCGUAGGGGAGGAAAUUUUGACCGAUCCUAGGAGGAAGCACAGGCUAAGUUCGUGCCAGCAGCCGCGGUAAUACGAACUGUGCAAACGUUAUUCGGAAUCACUGGGCUUAAAGGGUGCGUAGGCGGGCAGGUAGGUCAGAUGUGAAAGCCCACGGCUCAACCGUGGAAUUGCGUUUGAAACCACUUGUCUUGAGGGGAUCAGAGGAGAGCGGAACUGAUGGUGGAGCGGUGAAAUGCGUUGAUAUUAUCAGGAACACCGGUGGCGAAAGCGGCUCUCUGGGAUCUUUCUGACGCUGAGGCACGAGAGCUAGGGGAGCGAACGGGAUUAGAUACCCCGGUAGUCCUAGCUGUAAACGAUCUGUACUAGUCCGUGGGGACUCCCACAUCUUCUCGGACGUAGCGAAAGUGUUAAGUACAGCGCCUGGGGAGUAUGGUCGCAAGGCAA